UACGAAGGGAGCUAGCGUUGUUCGGAAAUACUGGGCGUAAAGCGCACGUGGGCGGCGCAGCAAGUCGGGGGUGAAAUCCCGGGGCUCAACCCCGGAACUGCCCUUGAAACUGCAGUGCUAGAAUUCUGGAGAGGCGAGUGGAAUUCCGAGUGUAGAGGUGAAAUUCGUAGAUAUUCGGAAGAACACCAGUGGCGAAGGCGACUCGCUGGACAGACAUUGACGCUGAGGUGCGAAAGCGUGGGGAGCAAACAGG
rnacentral:rRNA from 1 species